rnacentral:rRNA from 1 species
CCUACGGGUGGCAGCAGUCGAGAAUCAUUCACAAUGGGGGAAACCCUGAUGGUGCGACGCCGCGUGGGGGAAUGAAGGUCUUCGGAUUGUAAACCUCUGUCAUGUGGGAGCAAAUUAAAAAGCUAGUACCACAAGGGGAAGAGACGGCGAACUCUGUGCGAGCAGCCGCGGUAAUACAGCGGUCUCAAGCUUUGUUCGGAAGCCCUGGGCGUAAAGCGUGCGUAGGCGGUUUCGUAAGGCGUGUGUGAAAGGCGCGGGCUCAAACCGCGGACGGCACAUGAUACUGGGAGACUAGAGUAAUGGAGAGGGAAGCGGAAUGCGCGGUGUAGCAGUGAAAUGCGUAGAUAUCGAGAGGAA